rnacentral:tRNA from 1 species
GAGGGUGUAGCUCAGCAGUAGAGCACGUGCUUAGCAUGCAUGAAGUCCUGGGUUCAAUCCCCAGUCCCUCCA